rnacentral:rRNA from 1 species
AGCGAACGCUGGCGGCAGGCCUAACACAUGCAAGUCGAACGAAGUCUUCGGACUUAGUGGCGGACGGGUGAGUAACACGUGGGAAUGUGCCUUUAGGUUCGGAAUAACUCAGGGAAACUUGUGCUAAUACCGAAUGUGCCCUUCGGGGGAAAGAUUUAUCGCCUUUAGAGCGGCCCGCGUCUGAUUAGCUAGUUGGUGAGGUAAAGGCUCACCAAGGCUACGAUCAGUAGCUGGUCUGAGAGGAUGACCAGCCACAUUGGGACCGAGACACGGCCCAAACUCCUACGGGAGGCAGCAGUGGGGAAUCUUGCGAAAUGGGCGAAAGCCUGACGCAGCCAUGCCGCGUGGAUGAUGAAGGUCUUAGGAUUGUAAAAUCCUUUCACCGGUGAAGAUAAUGACUGUAGCCGGAGAAGAAGCCCCGGCUAACUUCGUGCCAGCAGCCGCCGUAACAC